AACGAACGCUGGCGGCAGGCCUAACACAUGCAAGUCGAACGCCGUAGCAAUACGGAGUGGCAGACGGGUGAGUAACGCGUGGGAACAUACCCCUCGGUUCGGAAUAACUCAGGGAAACUUGAGCUAAUACCGGAUACGUCCGAGGUUUUAAUCGGCCUUGGAGAAAGAUUUAUCGCCGGAGGAUUGGCCCGCGUCUGAUUAGCUUGUUGGUGAGGUAAUGGCUCACCAAGGCGACGAUCAGUAGCUGGUCUGAGAGGAUGAUCAGCCACAUUGGGACUGAGACACGGCCCAAACUCCUACGGGAGGCAGCAGUGGGGGAAUAUCGGACAAUGGGCGAAAGCCUGAUCCAGCCAUGCCGCGUGAGUGAUGAAGGCCUUAGGGUUGUAAAGCUCUUUUACCCGGGAAGAUAAUGACGAUACCGGGAGAAUAAG
rnacentral:rRNA from 1 species